GACGUAGGUGGCGAGCGUUAUCCGGAAUUAUUGGGCGUAAAGGGUGCGUAGGUGGCCUGACAAGUUAUCAGUGGCAAAUCGAGGCUCAACCUCGUGGAAACUGGUAAUACUGUUCGGCUUGAGUACAGGAGAGGUUAACGGAACUCUAUGUGGAGCGGUAAAAUGCACAGAUAUAUAGAAGAACAUCAAUAAAGGCGAAGGCAGUUAACUAUUCUGUUACUGACGCUGAGGCACGAAAGCGUGGGGAGCAAAACGG
rnacentral:rRNA from 1 species